UUCCUCGAUUAGCAAAAAAGAGGUGUUGAUGUGGGGGAUAAGUUUACAGUCAAUUGAGUUUGCUUACGAUUGGGCUUGAAAAAAAGGGUUCGUUUGUUUAAUAUAGUCUGGCCUUGCUCCCUUUACAUAUAUACCCAUGAGUUUAUAUAUGUCCUCGAGUUACACAGAGUAUCAACAAGCCUCAUCGGGUAUCAACGGGCAGAGGCUGAGGACUGGAUAACGAAGGAAUGGAAAUGGUGGGCUAAUUAAAUGGAAUUUGUGAAAUGCAUGAUUUAAGAAGUUGGUUGCAUGGAAAUUAUAUAUGUAAGAAAUUAUGCUUGAUUACUGCUGAAUGGCUCUCUCGGCAACAUGGGCCAGCAGAUCUCAUCACCAUGCCGCAGCCAAGAUGGAGCUGGGAGGGAAUUACUGAAAGAAUGUCCCAAACACAAAAUUCUAGAUUCUCUACUGAAGGCAUAUAGGUACACACAGAUCUUAGUUGGAAGACCAUCCGCCAUCGUCUCCGCCGACUUUUUGCCGGAAGACCAUCAGUCGUCACCUAGACCUACUUCGCCGCAGCCCAUUCAUUCGUCACCUGCCAUAGAGCAUAGUGCUCCUUGCUAUACGGCGGACCUGGUGAAACUGUGCAAAUAAUUAACAAACCAAACCCCACCUGGAUAGUGCUACAGAUUUGCUUAGUGGGCAGGAAUAACUGGAGUACUAUUUCUUCUUUAAGGGCGUAUUUCGGAGGGGAGCAUACACAUUACCUUGAUUGAGUUGAGUUUCGUGUUCUGCAUUACUGUUAUAAGUUACCAGCAGCAAAG